rnacentral:rRNA from 1 species
UACGUAGGUGGCAAGCGUUGUCCGGAUUUACUGGGCGUAAAGAGCGCGCAGGCGGUCGAUUUAGUCGUGUGUGAAAGCCCCCGGCUCAACUGGGGAGGGUCACGCGAUACUGAUCGACUCGAAGGCAGGAGAGGGUAGUGGAAUUCCCGGUGUAGUGGUGAAAUGCGUAGAUAUCGGGAGGAACACCAGUGGCGAAGGCGACUACCUGGCCUGUUCUUGACGCUGAGGUGCGAAAGCGUGGGGAGCAAACGGG